CAGCUGCUGGCCCUGGGCUGCUGCCUCAACAGCUCCCUCCUCUGCACAUUGGUCACUAGGGACCUUCCCCACAGCACUGUCCUUUACUCACAAGGCCAAGGUGCUGCACUUCCUGCUCAGAAUUGCCAUGUCCUAGUUUAUUUCAUUCACCCAAAGUGAGGGGUGAAGCUGUGUAUCCGAGGGGUGGUCUUUCCGAGGUCACUCAACGCAUUAGAGGGGCCUUGAAGGCUGGUGUGGUCGGCCCUCCUCAGCAGCUGGGUUCCCCACGACCCCUGAUAUGUAGAUGGGAGUUCCACCCACCUCCCCAGGAUAGUAUGUCCUGGAAUGCCUUUUGCAUUAUGGCCAGGUGGGUGGACAGAGGACAAGGCCACUGUCACAUUUCAGCACAUCCUGGUCUGAGAAGAGUGUGUGGCCACAGCAGGGACACUGAGGUCAGGAAGAGUAAACAUGCACGUGGCUCCCCCAGUGUCCUGCCCCAGAGUGUCCCUACUUCCCUGCCCCCAGGGCCUGGACCCUUCCACGCAGUCAAACCCUCCUGCUCUAAUUCUUCCUCAUCCCUCAGUCCGUUUCCUGGGUCCCUCGGCCAAUGUUCUCCUGGGUCUGCAUCUGGAAGGGACGUUCACCUCUGGCCCAGGGCAGAAGGGGCUUCUUAAGGCUUUUCCUCUGCUCCCCUCUCCUGGGCCCCUGUGUAUACAGACCUGAUGGAGUAAGAAAGGUUUCACACCCUCCUUGGAGAUGGGGUACCCUCCUCAUCUCCUAUCUGACCCCCGAUCAUGACCUCUCCCUGCACGCUCAUGAUUAAGCCUGACCUUUCCUGGGGUUGGUGUCCAGCAUGGCCUCAGAGACCACCGCACCCCAGCAUCAAGACCUGGGGACCCCUGAGGCCAGAAGCUACAGAGGGGGUGCUCAAAUCUUCUAUCAGUCAUCCUGAGUUAAUGAUGGGGGACAACCUGUGGACAGAAACUGGGCUGUCUGUCCAGAAGCGGAGGCUGGUGCUCAGGACUUGGAGCUGGUAACUUCUGAGAGUGAAGAUCCAAAGCAGACACAGGGAGUAAGCUCUGGCCUGUCAGAGACCAGAACCUUCAAGCUCCACCAUCUCCUGCUCCCUGGAGUCUCAGCCUUGAUGACCCUCCCUUGGUGACACUGAUGUCCACUCUCCUUCCCCUGCCCAGGCCCCUGUCCCUGGCCACAUAGUUGCUGUUCCCAUUUACCAGGAAUUACUAAACCCUGAGCUGGACAUCUACUGCCGGGUCAACCACAAGGCUGAUGUGGCUUCUUAGUUCCCACCAGACAAGGCUCCAGAUGGAUUGCAGAGGGUCCUGGUAGGACCACAGACUUUGGGUGAUGGGGCAGAAGUGCAACCAGAGCCCUGGGAGACUCUGGCACCUUGAAGUGCUAUAGGGUCCCUGGGUUCCUGGAGACCCAGACAGGCUGCCCUGGGCUCUGAAUGGCCAGAACCAGGCUGCCUGUGCCCAGGAGGAGGGGCUCCAGGGAGAGGGAAGGGCCCUGUGGGUCACCUGGGAAGGCGCUGAAUAAAGACCCCCUUCCCUCCUUC